AAUCUCAGGCGGAUACCAAUUUUUCUAAUGAAAUACGUACUCAACAAAUGUUCACGAAUGACAUCCACAGUGAAGGAAUAACAUUGUGUAAUAAAAAUCAAACCCGCAAAAUUAUAAUUUGCGUAAUUACUGAUGGGAGGACCUCUUCUGAGUCCGCGCGGAUAGGUACCACCACCCUGACCGUUUCUGCCGUGAAGCAGUAAUUCGUUUCGGUUGUAAGGAUGGAGCAGUCGUUGUAACUAUAGUGAGAUCUUAGAACUCAUGUCUCAAGCUUUCAAACCAGAAUGCAUCACUGCUUCACCGUGGAAGUCAAUCAUGAACAUUCGUCAAGUACAUAUUUCUUUAGAAAAAUCGGUACCCGCCUGCAGGAUUCGAACACUGUUUCAUUGCUAGAUACUAAUGCACCAGACAUCUUAUCCUUUAGGCCACGAUGACUUCAAAAUAAUAAUAAAAUAAUGAUGAGUCGGCUUGUUGGAAUCUCAAGUAGUGUUAUCUACGAGAUAUAAUAUAUACCAUUUUAAUAUGUAAUAUUUACCGAUACAUUAUCUUAUCUUGAACAUAAGUUUUUCUUGAAAGAAUGUAAGUCGACAGUUUAAUUUGUACGGCAACUUGAUCGUUUCAUAAAAAAUACAGCUAAAGGAACAGCUUCUUUAUUAAA